UCUUUAGGUUUUGAUUUACCCGCGGGUAUAUAUCAUCGCGAUGAUACUCAGUUUACAAAUGGAAAUGAUAUUACUGAAGGCAAUUCACCAUCGGCUGGCUUAAGUCUCAUAAGAUCAAAAAUAAGUAGUCGCUGGCUUCGUUUGUGUGGGAGCUGGGGUAAAUGAUUUUAUGAAAUAAAUAUAAUUGCUAAGCAUUUAUGUUUACCUGUUACAAUCUUCAGUUCAUAACACAGCAAAAAUAAAAGUUUAAA